AAGCCAGACUCCUACGGGAGGCAGCAGUGGGGGAUAUUGCACAAUGGGGGGAACCCUGAUGCAGCGACGCCGCGUGGGUGAAGAAGCGCCUCGGCGCGUAAAGCCCUGUCAGCAGGGAAGAAAAUGACGGUACCUGAAGAAGAAGCCCCGGCUAACUACGUGCCAGCAGCCGCGGUAAUACGUAGGGGGCAAGCGUUAUCCGGAUUUACUGGGUGUAAAGGGGGCGCAGACGGCGAUGCAAGCCAGGAGUGAAAGCCCGGGGCCCAACCCCGGGACUGCUCUUGGAACUGCGUGGCUGGAGUGCAGGAGGGGCAGGCGGAAUUCCUGGUGUAGCGGUGAAAUGCAUAGAUAUCAGGAGGAACACCGGUGGCGAAGGCGGCCUGCUGGACUGCAACUGACGUUGAGGCCCGAAAGCGUGGGGAGCAAACAGGAUUAGAUACCCGUGUAAAC
rnacentral:rRNA from 1 species